GGGAAUAUUGGUAAUGGGCGAAAGCCUGAACCAGCAACGCCGCGUGUGCGAUGAAGGCCUUCGGGUUGUAAAGCACUUUUGACCGGGACGAGGAAGGACGGUACCGGUGGAAUAAGCCUCGGCUAACUACGUGUCAGCAGCCGCGGUAAAACGUAUGAGGCGAGCGUUAUCCGGAUUUACUGGGUGUCAAGCCCUUGUAGGGGGUUAGCUAGGUUGGGUGUGAAAGAGCCUGGCUCAACUGAGUGAGGUCGCUCAAGACUGGCUGACUCGAGGAUGGUAGAGGAAGGUGGAAUUCCGGGUGUAGUGGUGAAAUGCGUAGAUAUCCGGAGGAACACCAGUGGAGAAGGCGGCCUUCUGGACCAUCACUGACGCU
rnacentral:rRNA from 1 species